GUGGGGAAUUUUGGACAAUGGGCGCAAGCCUGAUCCAGCCAUUCCGCGUGCAGGAUGAAGGCCUUCGGGUUGUAAACUGCUUUUGUACGGAACGAAAAGGUUCUCUCUAAUACAGGGGGCUGAUGACGGUACCGUAAGAAUAAGCACCGGCUAACUACGUGCCAGCAGCCGCGGUAAUACGUAGGGUGCAAGCGUUAAUCGGAAUUACUGGGCGUAAAGCGUGCGCAGGCGGUGAUGUAAGACAGAUGUGAAAUCCCCGGGCUCAACCUGGGAACUGCAUUUGUGACUGCAUUGCUGGAGUGCGGCAGAGGGGGAUGGAAUUCCGCGUGUAGCAGUGAAAUGCGUAGAUAUGCGGAGGAACACCGAUGGCGAAGGCAAUCCCCUGGGCCUGCACUGACGCUCAUGCACGAAAGCGUGGGGAGCAAACAGGAUUAGAUACCCUGGUAGUCC
rnacentral:rRNA from 1 species